rnacentral:tRNA from 1 species
GCCCUGGUGGCUCAGUGGAUUGGAGCGCUGUGCCAGACACCAAAAGGUUGUGGGUUCGACUCCCAGUCAGGGCA